rnacentral:rRNA from 1 species
AUUGAACGCUGGCGGCAUGCCUUACACAUGCAAGUCGAACGGCAGCACGGGAGCAAUCCUGGUGGCGAGUGGCGAACGGGUGAGUAAUAUAUCGGAACGUGCCCAGUCGUGGGGGAUAACGCAGCGAAAGCUGUGCUAAUACCGCAUACGAUCUACGGAUGAAAGCGGGGGAUCGCAAGACCUCGCGCGAUUGGAGCGGCGGAUAUCAGAGUAGCUAGUUGGUGGGGUAAAGGCCCACCAAGGCGACGAUCUGUAGCUGGUCUGAGAGGACGACCAGCCACACUGGAGCUGAGACACGGUCCAGACUCCUACGGGAGGCAGCAGUGGGGAAUUUUGGACAAUGGGCGCAAGCCUGAUCCAGCAAUGCCGCGUGCAGGAUGAAGGCCUUCGGGUUGUAAACUGCUUUUGUACGGAACGAAACGGCCCUUUCUAAUACAGGGGGCUAAUGACGGUACCGUAAGAAUAAGCACCGGCUAACUACGUGCCAGCCGCCGCCGUAA